rnacentral:rRNA from 1 species
AUGGACACCCACGAUCUGUCGGAGUUCGAUGAGAUCUUUACCGAGGAGGAAGUUUGGAACACCAUUAAGGAGUUGCCUCCGGAUCGGGCUCGGGGGCCGGAUGGUUUUAUUGCUGCCUUUUACCAGAAGGCGUGGUCCAUUAUCAAGAACGAUGUCAUGGCAGUUUUCCUGAAGCUGUAUGCGGGGGACGGUAGGGGAUUUAACAAACUAAACCGAGCACACAUUGUUCUCAUCCCGAAGAAGCCGGAGGCAGAGGAGGUGGGCGAUUUUCGCCCCAUUAGUCUCACACACAGGCAAAAAAUUUGCUAA